rnacentral:rRNA from 1 species
UACAGAGGUGGCAAGCGUUGUUCGGAAUUACCGGGCGUAAAGGGCGCGUAGGCGGCCCACUAAGUCAGACGUGAAAUCCCCCGGCUUAACCUGGGAACUGCGUCUGAUACUGGAAGGCUCGAGUUCGGGAGAGGAAUGUGGAAUUCCAGGUGUAGCGGUGAAAUGCGUAGAGAUCAGGAAGAACACCGGUGGCGAAGGCGCUCUGCUAGGCCGCAACUGACACUGAGGGACGAAAGCUAGGGGAGCGAAUGGG